AGAACUGUAUCGAGAGGGAAGGGAUGCUGCCAUCUUUGAUACCAAAUCUCCUUACCGGAGCUGGUGUGCACUAGCGUUGUUCUUCAUGUUGUGAGAAACACCUAGUCACUGAUAAAAUAUUGAAAAAUACAAAGUUUUUGAAGCAAAGACAAUAAUAUCUUUGUUUUACAAUUCAGCACUGAAUUGGAUGCCUUUCUAAAUAAGGCAUCCCACCUUACAAAAGCAGUAGGUGUAUAGGUACUAGUUUCAGACAAAGGACCAUGCAAGUCCUCAAAUAAUGGGAGUUUUUUUAGGUUAUCCAACCAUGUCUAGAGACUUCCUUCGGGUUCUCUCUUGACCUACGACAACUACCUCUUACAAGACAAUUAAGCAUACCAAUAAAUUCUUGCAACUCUAAGGGAGUGUCUAUUCUUUCAGGUUAUUCAUCCGUGUCUGGAGAUUGUCUGCAUAUUAUCUCUUGAUACAAGAUAGAUUUAUAUGACAAGAUAAUUAAACGUACAAACCAGCUGCAGCAAAACUUAUCGAUUCAUUCUCACAAUGUUAAAAACACAAUUCAUAGAAUCGUAGAAGCACGGAAUCAUGGAAUGGUUUGGAUUGGAAAGGACCUUAAAGAUCAUGUAGUUCCAACCCUCCUGCCAUGGGCAGGGACAUCCCACUGGAUCAGGCUGCCCAAGGCCCCAUCCAACCUGGCCUUGAACACCUCCAGGGAUGGGGCACCACAGCUUCCCUGGGCAACCUGUGCCAGUGCCUCACCACUCUCAGGGGGAAGAAAUUCUUCCUUAUGUCUAGUCCAAAUCUGCCCCCUGUAGCAUGGCUACAAGCCUUUGUGAACAAACAGUAAGAUCCUGCACGGCACAGGUUUCUCCAACAUUCCUACGGCAGAAACAGCAUCCCUUUUUUAACUCCUGUGAUCUCUGCGUUAUCUCCGCUCCCCCCACCAGUGCUGGCCCUCAGGAACAGUAGAGCCCUUCCACCAGCUGGAGCUGCCGAGCAGCCCCCGGAGCGCCCCGCCGGGAUGGGGGCGGGAUCGCGCCGUCACGGGAAGUGAUGCCAGAGCGGAGCAGGCGCGGCGGGCGAUGGCGCGGCGGGCGCUGCGGGCGCUGUUGCUGCUGGAGGCGGCGGGGGUGCUCGGCGCCCUCCUGCUCUACCGCGCCAUGGACCGCAGCCGAGAUUUCAGAUAUACAAUGCAGAAGAGGUUUCCAUCAAUUCUGGAAGUGUAUUACAAAUCCAAUGAGUGGUCUGGAAUUCAUGGCAUAAAGGAGAAUGACCAAAUGGCAUGGUUAAGCAGCAAGAACUGAAGUAAGAAAGAUGUCCCUCUGUGCUUGAACUGUUUCUUCCUUUUGAUGAUGCUUUUCACAUCCCUAUUAUGAAGCCACUUGUCACGCUCUAUUUCCCACUGGAUCUGUUUGACAUCUGUAAGAGGAAAGAGUAAGCUACUUCUUAAGAUUUCGAACAGAAAUUUCACAGCCAAAGAACCACCAAAACACAGAAGGCAAAUGUGAUCAGGUACAACAGCAAAACUGUACAGCACUUUGUAUGGAAGACUUUAAAUGUGUGAUCUCAGUUUCAGUCAUCUUCAACGUAACAAUACUGUUAACUUUUCAGACAGGGGCAUGUUUUUAACCUGCUUUUCUUUAAUCUCAAAACUAGUACCAGCAUUUUAUGUAAGUAAUCAAUAUUAUAAUAUCAAAUAAUUAAAAUUAAUGAGUUGCAUUAACCUGACACUUGAAAAAAAUUUAAAGGCUCCUACAGCAGUGAAUACACUAAAGAAAUAAAACCCCAAAGUUAAUUAGACAAAAUAAACUCUGAUCUUGUAAGUUACGAGACAUUCACAGGUAACCAAUAUUUUGAUUUACUGAAAACAAAUCUUUGCCAAAUGUGUACCAAUUCAAUUUUAGUGUUAGAGGUGCAUUUUUAUAUCAUAAUCUGAAAGGAAAGCCAACUAAAUGGAAAGAACUAUGAAUAAUAAAAAAACUAGCUCCUCUGACUUUUUUUGCAUUGUUCCAUUCUAACAACUCAUAAUAUUAGCAAGGUAUAUUCCAGGGUGUUUUUUUUUAAAAAUACUCCUAAUGCCCAAGAACUACAAUCCACAAAACAUUUGUUACCUAUUGUUUAAGGCCUCUCUACCACAGCAUCAACUUACUUGAUUAUAGACUACAGUACUAAUUGCCUUUGUUUGUAAGUGAUAUUCUUUCUUAAGCACUUUAGACAAAUGUUAAAAUUAUGUUUCAAGGGAAGUACUAUCACCACAUGUCCAUGUGACAAUACUCAACUGUAUCAAAUUAAUCAAAUUUAGCAAACACUUGGAAUAGCAGAGAAUAUUGUGAAAUGUAAUGAGUUUUGAUGGCAUUGCAUUAAAAAACAACACUUAAAAUGA